rnacentral:rRNA from 1 species
AGCGAACGCUGGCGGCAGGCCUAACACAUGCAAGUCGAACGAACCUUGCGGGGUCAGUUGCGAACGGGAGAGUAACACGUGGGAACGUUCCUUCAGGUGCGGAAUGCCUCAGGGAAAGUUGCGCUAUUACCGAACGUGUGCUUCGGGGGCAUGAUAUCUCGCCUUUAGAGCGGCCCGCGUCUGAUUAGCUAGUUGGUCGAGGUAAGGGCUCACCAAGGUGACGAUCAGUAGUUGGUCUGAGAGGAUGAACAACCACAUUGGGACUGAGACACGGUCGGAACUCCUAGUAAAGGCAGCAGUUGUGAAUCUUGCGCGAUGGGCGAGAGACGGACGCAGCCAUGCCGCGUAACUGAUGUAGGUCUUAGGAUUGUAAAAUUCUGUCACCGGGUACGAUAAUGACGGUACCCAGAGAAAAAGCCCCGGCUAACUUCGUG